GAUGAAGAACGUAGCGAAAUGCGAAAAGUAAUGUGAAUUGCAGAAUUCAGUGAAUCAUCGAAUCUUUGAACGCACAUUGCGCCCGCUGGUACUCCGGCGGGCACGCCUGUCCGAGCGUCAUUUCAACCCUCAAGCCCUCCUUCGGGAUGGGCCUGGUGUUGGGGCUCGGCCGCCAUCUCCGGCGGCCGUCCCCUAAAUACAGUGGCGGUCACGUCGCGACUCCUUUGCGUAGUAGAAACACCUCGCUCCGGAUAGCAACGCGGUCCACGCCGUAAAACCCCCAAUUUUCAAUGGUUGACCUCGGAUCAGGUGGGAAUACCCGCUGAACUUAAGCAUAUCAAUAAGCGGGGA
rnacentral:misc_RNA from 1 species